rnacentral:rRNA from 1 species
GAGUUUGAUCCUGGCUCAGGACGAACGCUGGCGGCGUGCCUAACACAUGCAAGUCGAGCGGACUAUAUUUUGGAAGGUGCUUGCACUGGAAGGAAUAGAGUUAGCGGCGGACGGGUGAGUAACGCGUGAGCAAUCUGUCCCAUACAGGGGGAUAAUACCGCGAAAGUGGUUCUAAUACCGCAUGAGACCACAGUGAGGCAUCUCACAGGGGUCAAAGGAGGAAUCCGGUAUGGGGUGAGCUCGCGUCCGAUUAGAUAGUAGGUGAGGUAACGGCCCACCUAGUCGACGAUCGGUAGCCGACCUAAGAGGGUGAUCGGCCACAUUGGGACUGAGACACGGCCCAGACUCCUACGGGAGGCAGCAGUGGGGAAUAUUGGGCAAUGGGCGGAAGCCUGACCCAGCAACGCCGCGUGAGGGAAGAAGGUCUUCGGAUCGUAAACUUCUGUCCUAUUGGAAGAGGAGAAGACUGUACGAUAGGAGGAAGCCCCGGCUAACUACGUGCCAGCAGCCGCGGUAAUACGUAGGGGGCGAGCGUUGUCCGGAAUGAUUGGGCGUAAAGGGCGCGUAGGCGGCCUGAUAAGUCUGGAGUGAAAGUCCUGCUUUCAAGGUGGGAACUGCUUUGGAGACUGUCGGGCUUGAGUGCAGGAGAGGUUACUGGAAUUCCCAGUGUAGCGGUGAAAUGCGUAGAGAUUGGGAGGAACACCAGUGGCGAAGGCGAGUAACUGGACUGUAACUGACGCUGAGGCGCGAAAGUGUGGGGAGCAAACAGGAUUAGAUACCCUGGUAGUCCACACUGUAACCGAUGAGUGCUAGGUGUAGGAGGUAUCGACCCCUUCUGUGCCGGAGUUAACACAAUAAGCACUCCGCCUGGGGAGUACGGCCGCAAGGUUGAAACUCAAAGGAAUUGACGGGGGCCCGCACAAGCAGCGGAGCAUGUGGUUUAAUUCGACGCAACGCGAAGAACCUUACCAGGUCUUGACAUCCAGGUAAAGCGGCAGAGAAGCCGUGUGUGCUUGCACAAUCUAAGACAGGUGGUGCAUGGUUGUCGUCAGCUCGUGUCGUGAGAUGU